rnacentral:rRNA from 1 species
AUUGAACGCUGGCGGCAUGCUUUACACAUGCAAGUCGAACGGUAACAGGCCGCAAGGUGCUGACGAGUGGCGAACGGGUGAGUAAUGCAUCGGAACGUGCCCAGUCGUGGGGGAUAACGCAGCGAAAGCUGCGCUAAUACCGCAUACGAUCUAUGGAUGAAAGCGGGGGACCUGUAAGGGCCUCGCGCGAUUGGAGCGGCCGAUGUCAGAUUAGGUAGUUGGUGGGGUAAAGGCUCACCAAGCCGACGAUCUGUAGCUGGUCUGAGAGGACGACCAGCCACACUGGGACUGAGACACGGCCCAGACUCCUACGGGAGGCAGCAGUGGGGAAUUUUGGACAAUGGGCGCAAGCCUGAUCCAGCAAUGCCGCGUGCAGGAAGAAGGCCUUCGGGUUGUAAACUGCUUUUGUACGGAACGAAACGGCUCUGGUUAAUACCUGGGGCUAAUGACGGUACCGUAAGAAUAAGCACCGGCUAACUACGUGCCAGCCGCCGCCGUAAUAC